rnacentral:rRNA from 1 species
GUCCACGCCGUAAACGAUGAGUGCUAGACGUUGGGGGGCUUGCCUCUCAGUGUCGCAGCAAACGCAUUAAGCACUCCGCCUGGGGAGUACGGCCGCAAGGCUAAAACUCAAAGGAAUUGACGGGGGCCCCGCACAAGCGGUGGAGCAUGUGGUUUAAUUCGACGCAACGCGAAGAACCUUACCAGCUCUUGACAUGCUGAGUUUCGGGUUCGAGAGAUCGAACCCUUCGGUUCGGCCGGGCUCAGCACAGAUGCUGCAUGGCUGUCGU